rnacentral:rRNA from 1 species
GGCUCAUUAUAUAAGUUAUCGUUUAUUUGAUAGUACCUUACUACUUGGAUAACCGUGGUAAUUCUAGAGCUAAUACAUGCUUAAAAUCCCGACUUCGGAAGGGAUGUAUUUAUUAGAUUAAAAACCAAUGCCCUUCGGGGCUCUCUGGUGAUUCAUGAUAACUUCUCGAAUCGCAUGGCCUUGCGCCGGCGAUGGUUCAUUCAAAUUUCUUCCCUAUCAACUUUCGAUGUUUGGGUAUUGGCCAAACAUGGUUGCAACGGGUAACGGAGGGUUAGGGCUCGACCCCGGAGAAGGAGCCUGAGAAACGGCUACUACAUCCAAGGAAGGCAGCAGGCGCGCAAAUUACCCAAUCCCGACUCGGGGAGGUAGUGACAAUAAAUACUGAUACAGGGUUCUUUUGGAUCUUGUAAUUGGAAUGAGUACAAUUUAAAUCCCUUAACGAGGAACAAUUGGAGGGCAAGUCUGGUGCCAGCAGCCGCGGUAAUUCCAGCUCCAAUAGCGUAUAUUAAAGUUGUUGUGGUUAAAAAGCUCGUAGUUGAACCUUGGGCCUGGCUGGCCGGUCCGCCUCACCGCGUGUACUGGUCCGGCCGGGCCUUUCCCUCUGUGGAACC